GACGAACCGUGCGAACGUUAUUCGGAAUCACUGGGCUUAAAGCGUGUGUAGGCGGACCGUUAAGUACCUUGUGAAAUCCCACGGCUCAACCGUGGAACGGCUGGGUAUACUGGCGGUCUUGGGCCACCUAGGGGUCAUCGGAACAGGCGGUGGAGCGGUGAAAUGCGUAGAUAUCGUUUGGAACGCCAAUGGUGAAAACAGGUAGCUGGGAGUGUGCCGACGCUGAGACACGAAAGCCAGGGGAGCGAACGGG
rnacentral:rRNA from 1 species